UACGAAGGGGGCUAGCGUUGCUCGGAAUCACUGGGCGUAAAGGGUGCGUAGGCGGGUCUUUAAGUCAGGGGUGAAAUCCUGGAGCUCAACUCCAGAACUGCCUUUGAUACUGAGGAUCUUGAGUACGGGAGAGGUGAGUGGAACUGCGAGUGUAGAGGUGAAAUUCGUAGAUAUUCGCAAGAACACCAGUGGCGAAGGCGGCUCACUGGCUCGGUACUGACGCUGAGGUGCGAAAGCGUGGGGAGCAAACAGG
rnacentral:rRNA from 1 species